UUCGAUGGAGUCCAACUUAUCAGUCUUUUAUCACUUUUGCUUUUGGUUUCUUAGCCAAGAAAUCGUUAGCUAACUCAAGUUCAUGAAGAUUUACUCUUGUGUCUUUGUCUGUUUUAUUGUUUCACCUCUUGCAUUUAAGUUUGUGAUCAACUCUGAGUUGAUUAUUUUGUGUGAUGUGAGUUGGAGUUCAAAUUUAUUCUUUUGCGUCUGGAUAUCCACUUUUCCCAGGACCAUUUGUUGGAAAGGUAUUUUUCCUUGUUCCUUUGUCAAAAUCAGUUGACUGACUAUGAAUGUUAAAGAGCUUAUUUCUGGGCUGUGGGUCCUGUUCCGUUGAUCUGUACAUCUCUCUGGUGCUUGCUGUGGCUCUGUAGUAAGUUUUGAAGUCAGGAAGUGUGUCUGCCACCUUCUUCAAGGUUGUGGCUGUUGUGUUUUGCAUUUUCAUAUGAGUUUUAGGAUGUUUGUCAAUUUCUACAAACAUAAGUCAUCACAGAACUACAGAUCCAUUCAGCUGAGGUCAUGGAACGCCUGUGUUUCUUAAAUGGGCACAUAGCUCCAGCAUGUCUAAUACUUCUAACACCUUCACUAAUCUGGUUCUUCAUUCAGCUAACACCUAUUAUAUACCUGCCAGGGGCCAAGGUCACUGUCGGAUCCUGAGUACACAGCGAUCAGUAAGAUCUGGUUUCUGUCCUCAGAUACCUCCAAUCUCAUGGAGCUGAUAAAUUACACACGUAGUAGAGGGAUAGCAUUACCGAGGUUUAUAUAGAGAUGCCGUGCAAGGGAGUGAAGGUCCGGCGGAGUGGUUCGCACCGGGUGUGGGCUCUGCGGCACUUCUGAGAGCUUUAUGUGCGUGAACUCACCUCAUCUUUACAAGUCCUGUGACACAGGCACCGUUUUUCUCCCCAAGAUACAGAUAAGGAUCCAGCCUUUUGAAAACUUUCUAAUAAAUAUAAAAUUAUCUCAAAGGCUCCUUUAAAGUUCUUGGAGAUUCCAGAAUAUGAUUCAAACCAAGUCAAAAGAGUGAGCAGAGUAUCGUUUUGUUUUCAAGCGGUACACACGCCACCCCCACCCCUUCUGCCACCCCACCCAGGAUUGGCUGCCCCAUCCCCACGACUAUGCAGAGUGGACAACAGGCCUCCUCAGGAAGAGGGGGCGGGGGCUCUGGGGGUGAGUCUUACCCAGUAAGCAGUUUGAGGAUGAAGAGUCUGAGAGUGUCCUUGCGCAGUUGUGAUGAGAUGGGACCCGGAGGUGCUGAGACAGAGGGACAGGCACAGGACAGACACGAGCGGCUUCCUGAGUGCUGCAGCGUCAAGCGGGAGACGGAGUGAAACCGUGUGCAGUGCUUGUGCGUAGAAAUCCACGAAUAGGGUGUAGAAUUGUCUGCUGUGAUGUGGGCCAUUAGGAUUUCAGGGCCACGUUUUGUCAGUGACUGAUAGCUGUGCGCACUCAUAGAAUCCAGCAUGUAUUUAUCCACCUAGUAUUUGAUGACUCCAGAUAUUUUUGAGUGCUGUGUCCUGGCCUAGUUAUUAAGUUUAUCCCUAUAACUAUCCUCAGAUCCAGUAAAGUAGGAAUCAGCCAGAGCAGAGCAGAGGAAAGGCACUUUUCCUUUAACUGGCAGGCACUGUACCAGGUGGUGGUUUACAGGUGUUUUUUAAUUGAAUCCUCAGAAUGGCACCGAGGUAAGUGGACUUCCCACCUUUAACGAAGAAGACUCAGAGGUAAGUGGUAUCGCAGAGCCCAGCUGGCUUGCCUUCAGAGUCACUGCGCUUUCUCUCAGAACUGCUGCUCUCAGCGCCACCGGAGGAAGCCCUAGGGAGACAUGACUAAUGGUUGCUGACUUUACCUAACUGUGCUCAUUUAUGAACUCCACGGAUACUUACCGAGUACUGUCAGGUGUCAGGCAUUAUGCUAGACACAAGGGAAGAGGAGAGACCAGAACAAGCAUGACCCUGACCCCGUGGAGUUUCUGUUCUGGUGGGAGCUAGAUCUUUAGAUCGACAGGCACUUCGCUGUAUGCGUUCAGGACAGGUGUCCUGUUGCAGACACACGUGCACGCGUACAUGCAUCCAUACAUAAUUACAUAGCUUUGGGUUUGUUUUCUAUAAAGGGAGCGGGAUGAAACUUUUGUGUACGUGGAGUAACAAGUUGAGGUCUUUAUACCGCACCCUGUACGUAGAAGUUCAGAGAAAUCUGUACAGUAAAACUCCUUUAUGAGUUGUGUUUACAUUCUGCUUAGAAAGGUUUCUUUGUUUGUUUUUUAAAGUUCCAUAAUGGAAAAUUUCACAUUUAUUCAGAAGUGGAAAGGAGAGGUUACUAAACCCCCAUGUACCUGUCACUGACCUUCAGUAAUUACCAACUGGUGACCAAUCUCGUAGAGAGGCAAUUACUGCAGAAGGAAGUGUGCAAGUUACAACUGAAACUCUGCUAAAAUCUGCUGAGGAAGCCCAAGGGAUGAGGGUCAGUGGGACUGAGACGGAUGAUUACAAACAACAAGAGGACGGCCACGUGAGCGAAGGGCUCCCGCCUGGGCGCAGCAAACACCUGGAAGUAGACAGAGUCAUGACCGGUGACAGAGUUUCAGAACCCAGCACGCUAGCUUCCCUAGAGCCUUUGAACUUUGUGGGCCCUGGAUCAACAGAAGCAACUCCUGAAGAAACAGAAUGUGAAGCAUUAAAAGCCUGUCCUCCUUGGUCGCUGUCAUUACCAGGGAACAGUGCCAUUUCCCAAGUGGAUGGUGGGAAGGAAGAGUUGUGUAAAUUGGACCUUACCUGUGAAGCAGAUGACAAUCAGCAGCGGAUUCUUGGCCACCAUAAUGAGAGACACAGUUCCCCAUGUGGCAGCCCCAAAGCCGCGAGGAGUGUGGUUGUGGUAGAAGAAAAUUCUGUUUCAGAAGAAGAUUCUGAAGUUUCACAUCUCACAUCAAGUUUGUCUGGUCCAGAAUCCAGAACAGCAUCCUUAGCAAAGUGCAAUUUUGAAGGUGACAGCUUGCUGAAGGGAUCUGUUGAAAAGACAGACAGUUCCUGUUUGGAUGGGGACGAUCAAAGUGUGAACUUGGCUUCCAGAGAAGAAAAUGAACAGCUUUCGAGCCCCAGGAGUGAAAGAGGGGAACCCUUUCUUGUUAGUGCCAGGCAGCCAGAAGAGGAUGCUAGUAGUCAUCAUUCUGGAAAAAACCAGACCGCUGACGUCCCCAAAGAAAACACCCAUACUAACUGCUGCCCUCGAGGCAGUGUCCGCACAGACAGCCCUAGUUCUACAGUGCCCAGUUCUUUAACCGAAGCCAGGGAAGUAAUGUUUGAAAAAAAUGAUUUGAAAAUCACUGUAGACAUUCAAGGUAGCUUGGCAAACCAUGAGGACCAUAGGAUAACUUUUCCUGAUAUGAGCCGUCUGGGUACGCACUCUUCCUCUGUGAUGCUGACGGAAGGGCCAGAACAGACAGCCACUGUCAGGCCCAGUGUGUCAAGUGAGAAGAGUCACAGUGAAUACUCCUUAGACAGCACCCACAGAAAUCUGGAUGGCAACACCGAGUUAGAUGAAGCAUCACAUAAUGAAUUUCCAACUGAAAGAGAAUCCCUCGUGAGUUUAACGCCAGAGGACCAGUUAAAUUCCAUAAAUGACGUAUCCAAACCCAAGAAAGAUCUUGCUCCGUUACCGCCAUCCCCAGAGUUCCAGGACAGACCUGAGUCAGAAGAAGCCACACACAACUCCCAGGACGGUGGUCCACACAUAGAUGAACAGAGCACUGCCUGGGAGACGAAUGAACUUUCUUGCACCAAUGAACUGGCCGUAAACAAAUUAGGAAGUGAAUGUGUUUUAAAACAAGUGUCCCUUAAUUCUCAAAACCACGCAAAGUUGCCAACUGACAAAGAUGUGCCUGUAGCAGCGAGCGAGGGGGUUUCCCAACAGAACCAACACCCUCCGUUAGAGGCUGGAGCAGAUGUCCUUGCUGGUACUCAGACCCCUCCCAUGAAGACAGGAAUGGAAGACAUCUCUCCACCAGGUGACAAAACCUGUGGUGCCUCUUCAAACAGUCCCACCUUAAACAGACCAGGGAGCCUAGAAAGAAAAGCCGAAAUGGCUGCUCCAGGAGCAGAAGAUGCACAUUCCAGGCUCCCCUCAAACAAGAAAGAAGCAGCAGACUUGCCUCAAGAAGCCUCUGCCAUGGAAUGUCAAAGUGUCCAACUGCAGGACCUCUCGAGCCGCCCUUGUGUGAGAAGGAAUGCACCUGAGGAGAGCAUGUGUCCCACCCAUGCUGCCUUGGAGCCCAGCAAAACCCUCAUGGGAGCUGAAAACCCUCCAAUAACCAAGUACAAAAAUGCAUUUCAGCACAGCGACUGCUGCCCCCAAGGGAGAGAAGGCUCCAUGAAAAGUAACGCCCAUAAAGUGAGUGGUACAUCAGAGAGUGAACCUGAUGGGAGAGGAACUAAAGGCAGCCUUCCAGGAGGCGAGGCCAGAAAUGAGACGCCAGCAGGCACAUCAGGUAGUGAAGCUUCACACAAAACCGCUCACACUGCGCUGCACAGCCGACCCGGCGGGGAAGGGCUGGAGAGAGGAGAACAGGAUGUCCCCAAGGAGACCAUGUGUCACAAAGGUGACAUCUCUGAUUGUGCCGCACGGGAGCAAAACCAGCCUACAGAUACUCCAAGCCCUGAGAGAUUGCUGGACCAGUUUCCUACUGUUCUGCCCUCCGGUGUUAAAAGCAUGAACCAAGCUGCUGAAACUCUUGAGCAGAAGGCCGAUGAGGCCCUCAGCUGCCAGAGUAACCUGGAUAGACCAGACAAAUGCAGAAAUGAAGAUAACUCAGCCAAGGAGAUGCCGGGAGGUGACCAGAGAGAGACAGUCACAGAGCCCAGCAGAGUGGGGAGCCAGGGCCGGGAGGGUCUCCUGAUCAGUGCAGGCAAUAACAGCUCACGGUCUGGUGGACGUCCAAAGGAAGGGGCCUUCAGAAGGGUUUCUGGUCGUGAGGAGUCCGCAGACGGCAUGGUAGACUUCGUCCACGCGGGCUGCGGGAAGGAGCCCACAGAAAGCGUUCCAGACGAAAGGGCGCCGAGCACACUUGAUGGUGGUGCAGGUCAUUUUGGGCCGAUGUUACAUGAAACCCCACGGAGUACUCUGUCCCAGAGAGGGGAGCCCAGCCUUGCAUUCCUGGGAGAGAUGGACCCGGAUUCGGAUUUCCAAGAUGCUGCUUCCCCUGCGGUGGAAUCUCUCGAAAUGAAAAACUCAUGUGAAGACAAAGUACGGGGAGCAUCAGAAGACUGUGAAAUGGAAGUGUGUCCAGACUCUCGGACCCGUGAGGUAGAGUUUGCUGCAGAUCAUGAGCCAAAUGUUAGAAGAUUGGGUAGGGAAAGUGUGUCUUUAAAUUACAUUCAUCAUGAACAGAAACCUCAAGAAGCAUCUCUGAGAGGAGCACAAGGAAUGAUGGAGCGACCAAGACAAGAAAUAAAUUCUGAGUUUGACAAGGAAGACCUCUGUGGAAUUUGCUCAGAGGAGCUGGUAUCUUUUGGACACCGAGGUGAGAACUCUGUUCCCCCAGAAAACCUGAAGUCCAUUGAGAUAACGCCUUUGUGCCUGUCGUCCCAAGAAAAAUCAGAAACUAAUAUUAACAGUGGAGCAUCUGAUCUGAAAAGCCUUUUUAAGCCAAAAGAUGGUGAAGUGCCCUGUGAAGACGUGGAGGUCCUGCCUGAGGUGGAGGAGGGGGCCCCAUGGGGUAAGAAGGAUCCUGGCGUAGGAGACAGCAUGGCCAUUGGCAUGAGGAGCCCGCCUUUAACAGCAGAGACCAAGCCUGCAGCGAGCAGGGAGGGCACCGGAGACCAGGGCUGGCUGCGGGGCCCUGUGGCUGCCGGGAAGGAAUCUGAAGAGAUACGUGUCCAACAAGGGGGUCCCGGGGAGAUCACAAGUGAGACUUCUCAAGUGCACCUCAGUCCCCAGGGGGAUCCCGGUGAUGCGGAAGAGCAACACGGCAGGGAGAAAGAGGGCCAGAUGCAGCCAGAAGCAGGUACCACGUGGGCGCAACACACAGCCCCUUCUCUGUUGUCAGAUGAGCUGCGAAGGGAGAGCCGUCUUCGGGGCUGUGGAGAUGAGCCCUUCACUGUGGGAGAAGUCGCCCCCGCAGAGCCGGCCACAGGCAGCACUGCUGUGGGGGUUCAGGAGCCCAGGGACCCAAAUGGAAGCUGGUGCCAUCCAUUAAGAGAGGGCUCCACGCCAUGUGCAGGCCCCAGCCUCCAGGGAGCCCCCCGGGGAGCACCAGGCCCCAGGCCCACCGGGCGCGGGGACCUCAGCGGUGCCUUUGGGAACACUUCACACUGGAGAGGGGUGCUUCCCCUAAAGAAGCAGCCCCCCCGAACGUGUAAGAAGGUUUCCUGUCAGGAGCAAGUCAACAUGGGGAGGAAAAUGAGUAAAAUCAGAAGUUCUGCCUUUUUCAAGAGCUCCUCUGAAACCAUCCCCACGAAAACACACAGGUUUCUCAGCUCGCACGCCGUGGCCGCAGCCUCGCCACCGGAACCCAAGACAGCCCUGGCCUGGAGCCCCGGGAGCCUCAGAAGCCCCGCACCAAAGCAGCCGGCAGCCCCGGGCCACCUCUCAGGGAGCCCGAAUGUUCGGAAGCCUACCAAAGAGUCAGCCUUACUCAGCAAGCUGUCCAGCCUGGCCUCCAGACUGGCCCCGGCCGCACAGGCCCAGGAGCUGGGGCGUCGGUGCUCCUCGGAGCUUCUCCCGGUGGCCGGAAGCCACAAGCGGCUCAGAUACCGCCAACUCCUGGAUGGGUUUUCACGCAGCACCGCGCAGCUGAAUCCAUGUCUGGCAGCCAGCCGUUGGGACAAGAGGCCCACUAGUAAACCCCUGACACUUUGUUCGCUCGAAGCCAUCAAAAUGAGCUUCAUGGAUCUGGGCGCCAAGAUGCCAUCACUGCUGUUUGGUUCCGAAGUCUUCCCAGUCUCCUUCCACAUGAAGUCGGGCUCCGAGCUUGGGACUGAGUCCCCGAGGACUUUUCCCGAGCACUGUGCGCCCGCGAGGCUCGCCUUAGGAGAGGCCGCCCAGUGUCCAUCUCCGCCGCCCAAGUGGACCUUCUCUUUCUUCCUGGCCCAUGGUUGCCCUGGGGUGGCCACAUUCAGGGAAGACGCUGGUGUCCGGGGUCAGGCAGGUACCCGGCCUCCCCCACAGCCUCCAGUUCCUCUCCAGGACCAUGGAGCCGCCGCCAUAGUCCAGACCAGAGCCAGCUGCUCCGUCCUUGGCCUUCACACACUCCUAGCACUUUGUUCCCCAGGAUGUUACCGAAUCUGGACGAAAAAACGGAGCUUCUCCAGUCACAUGCCCACCAUGCAGAGGCUCUUCUUGACCCAGUUUACACAGGGCUUGAAAGGGCUAAGGUCUCCAGCCUCCCCGGCAGAUGAGGCCUUCUGUUCUCUGCCCUUCUCGGUGGGCCGAGUGCUGUCCAUUUGGAGCCAGCAUGGGCCUUCUGCCUGCCCCUUGGAAGUCUCCGCUCUUCAUUCCUCUCCCAGCAAGCAGCAGCCAACUCUGGGCACCCCAAGCAGCCACACCCUGUUACCGUAUGUGCCUAUCCCGGGCAUGGAGGCUGCUUAUACCACCAGCGGCAGUCACAUGAGGCUGGAGCCUCCAUUCCCUGCUUUGGUACCAAAGUCUCGCUUGGUAACAGACUCAGCUGUCAGCAAGCUCCUGCUUUCAGCCUCUGAGCUCCAGGUUCCCGGAUUUGAUGAACUGGAUGGUGUGACAGCAGUGUGUCCCCGACCACAGAGCAGCCCUCCGGAGCAGAAAGAGGCGGAGCCAGAGAAGAGGCCAAAGAAAGUCUCACAGAUUCGCAUCCGGAAAACCAUUCCUAAGCCAGACCCUAACCUCACCCCCAUGGGCCUUCCUCGACCCAAAAGGUUAAAGAAAAAGGAGUUUAGUUUAGAAGAAAUAUAUACCAAUAAGAACUAUAAAUCUCCUCCUGCAAACAGGUGUCUAGAGACCAUCUUUGAGGAACCCAAGGAACGAAAUGGUACGCUCAUCUCAAUCAGCCAGCAGAAGAGGAAGCGCGUUCUAGAGUUUCAGGAUUUCACAGUCCCGCGGAAGAGGCGGGCACGUGGGAGCUCCUGUUGGACGGCUUGCAAACUCCCAGCAGAUCAACUGAGCCCUGCUCGCCAGCUCCAUUGCCAGUGUAGACGAGUCAGCACCUUGGCAACCACGUCAUCCUGCAGACUGAAGUUGUGGGAGCAGCUGUGCCGUCACCAGCCUUGUGGAGAUGCAGUUUCCGGUUCACCUGGGGCAAGCGUGACACUUGGAAGGGCCAGGAGUGGUGAUUUGGAACAUUGGCUUCUGGGAAGGGAGGCUUGGAGAAAGUGGAAACUGGGGGCCCUCCUUGUCCUGGGAAUGCAGGAGAAAGCUCUCUGAGGCCAACCCCUCCCUGUGUUCUUGGCCUGCCUCUGGCCCCGGCCCUUCCUCAUUUCAAAGUGAAGAAAGGGCCCCCAUAGCAAACUUGAAAUUGCUCACCUGAAGUUGCCACAUCGGAUUUUAGCUCAGCCCCACCUGUCUUAACCUCCGUGUUUACCGUCAGCCUAGCCAGCUGCAGCACCGCCCAUGGUCCUCAGAGACCGGGGUGCCUGCCCCUGUCGGGGACGCCGGGCGGCUGCGGGCCACCCCCUGCGGGCCACCCCCUGCCCGGAGUCAUGGGCAGUCUGCUGCUGGCGUGGGAGUGGGUGCAGUUUCCAAGAACGGGAGGCUUCCCACCCCAAGCGAUAGGGAGUGUGGUUAAUAAUUAAUUCGACUUUAAGCUCAAGAGAUUUAGUGUUUUUAAUAUGGGAAAGAGGAGAAAUCUCAGGUCCAAUCAGCUUUUCACUGAAGUUUUCAACUGUGUUUUUGUUUUCCAUCCGUCAGUUUUGAGCUAUGUUUGCCCUUCCCCCCCUUCCUCUCCUUCUGUCUUUCGGUUUCCUUUCCAGCUUCGUUUCUCUGUUCGUUUAAACGCACCUCAUCGCGUUACAGCAGAUCAUGUCCGCGUUUUCUCGCUGACCUUCCUCGGGGAACGGCAGCUGCGGGAGGGACAGUGGAGAGACACGUAGCGAUUGCCUUACUUGGAGCCCGGAGAGCUCAGAAACUCGCGCUGUGAGUCCCAAAACUCAGCGCUCCCCCAGAGCUGUGAAGAUCAUGACAGUCUGUCACAGUUUUGCCUGAAAGGGUCUUUUGCGCGGGCGCCAGAGCCAACCUAAGGUGAAUUCCAGACCCCACCCCAGACACGAUCCUCCCCACCCGCCAGGCUGAGAGCAGCGGAGGGUGCAGCCGGGCAGCCGGCCCAGGGCUCAGCACAGCCCGACGGAAACAGCCAGUGCUCUGUCUCCAGGCUGGGAUUUCAUCUCAUCACCAAUACCGUGUAUGUUAAAGUCCGCGAAAGUCCAACUUUUAGGCAGCGGUACUUUUCUCCCAUCCCCUGGGGGGAGAGUAUGCAGUUGGUGCUUUCUUGAAUUCCCUUGUUGUGUUUUGUUUCCAUAAGCUUUUCCCCGAAUCAUGGAAAGGACCCCUGAACACCGUACUGUGGGCGGCUGUAUCCAGAGCCUCAGUUAUUGGCCAGAGGUGCAGCAUGCCCUUUCCUGGACUCAUGCAAGGGAAGGGCUCCUCACCACAGCUGAACUUCUCAUAGAAUUAAAAAGCUGACUGGAAAGGAAGGAUUAAUUUUACUAAAAUCAAAGGUUAGUAUGACCACCUAGCCACAAAUCAAGCAGCGAAGUCCACUUAUUUUGAUGGUGAAGUGAGGGUCCCUGUCCCGCUGGCCACCCAGCACAGCAAACCCUCAGGCUCAAUGCCUGUUUGCUGUGUGUCUUCACGAACCCCUCUCUGGUGCUGAAUCAGAUUUUAAUUCUUGGUGAGAGGCCUCAGCAUCUCCUUGGGCUGUUCUGGGCCGGAAAAUCGCUGCCUGAAGUGUUUAUAUAUUAUCAUGGUCAGUAGUUGAGUGAAAUUUGUACAUUUUUGGUAACAUUGGCAAACCUGAUGCCCCUGCAGUCCCUUUUCUGUUUGGUAGUUUGUGACUCUAAAAUUCCCACUGUUGUGUGUGUUAAUUUAUGAAAAUAAAAAAAAUUUUUUUUUUUUGGAUAAUCUUUCAAGUAACUCUUGAGGGUGUUAUUCUUUUGGCUUCAUAAGUUAAAAGUUGACCUGUAAAGUCAUAAAGUUGUGUUUUUCUUUUAUUUAAAUAGACAUUCCAAAGUUACCUAUCACAGCGAGCAUUGUCCCUUCCACAGUGGUCCCCGUUUUCUCAGGACUGUCCUGUGCUCAGAACAUAUGGUGAACUCCACCUUCAUGUGACCUUCUGAGCCUGUGCUGGAGCUUUUUAAGUUUGCUCAGAGGUGGCAGAUCAUCUCUUGUGAGGGAAUUUGGUGUUUGGAAACAGCCAAGACUCAGAUUGGAGUCACACCCAAUGAAGUUGGGUCAGGCUGCCCAACGAGUAUUUCAGGUGUGAUUUUUGAACACCUGGAAGAGCAAACAGCAGUUAAAGUUCAGGUCAAAAUAAAUUUCAGAUAUUCACUACAUAUUUGGAAUAAGAGCUUAGCUUGUUAAGGAAGCUCCUUGUGAGAGUACAAAUACGGUGGAAUAUGUUCAUUUACUUUUAAAAAGGUCUCACCUUUUAUCAUAUCCUUCGCAGCUGUACGUGAGGUUAGGCUGUGAGUCUUCUGGGUCUCACCUCCUUGUUUAACCAGUGCAUACUGGUGAGAGAGUGACUCUGGAAACACGGCUCCUUAACCCCACGCUUAUGUGUUCCGGAAAGAAGCGUGAUUCCUGAGAGUGUCCUUCCUCUGUCCAGAGGAAAAGCGGUGCCCCAUUUCCCUUGCCGGCCUCCUUCCAAUUCUUAGGCUUCCGCAAUAAAGAUCUCUGUGUCAUCUGUCACAUUGGGGAGCAUCCUUCCUGGCAGCUGUUUUUCUGCUGUGGUUCGGUUUCAUGGUGACUUGGGGAAGAGUCCUCUUCUGCACCUCUUCUUCCUUUAGGAGGGAGAGGCAUGACCACCCACGGCAGUGUUAGCCCUUGAGCAUCCCCCAUCACAGAAUCUUCAGUCCUGAGAGUGAGGACUGGUUGAAACAUGGAAGGAUCCCCAACCGUGUCCUGCCCUCCUCAUGUGAUGGACACCUCAUUUCUGCAGCUGGUUCUGGGACCUCUCUUGAGAACUGUUCUAGAGAAUUCCCAAUUCUUCAAUCUCCAGGGCCACAGUUACUCUUCAGAGGACUCAUUGCUGGCCUCACACCAUCUGAUUGGCUGUAGCUCAAGGCGGGGCGGGGCCAGCCAAGGAGUUCCCACCUCUGCACAGCAUCCUGUGAGAUGGCCCACCUGGGAGACUCUUGGAGAUGGUAAGAUGGUUCCUGGAAGAGUGCAAACACGGGGGCAAGUACCCCCUAGGUACUGCAACAGCUGAUAAGUCUGGGCGCCCCUCACAUCCUUCCCCAACUGCUGCCAGCCCAAGGGAUCUUGGAAAAACAGUUUUGCGCUUGUCAGAACCUCUCCCUUAAGAUCCUUCCGUGGUGUUCCCCUCACCCCCAGAUAAGGAUGGUAACUGUCAGUUACUGACCAAGCGCCAAGCAUUUGGUAUUUAUCACCUUCGUGAAUCCUCACAACAACUUGGUGAGGUAGAUGUGGUUUUUAAUCUCCACUUUGUAGAUGAGGAAACUGAGGUAUAAAGACAGAUUAGAUGUCCCAUCUGCACAGGAAGUGUUAGAGCCCUGGUCUGCUGAUCAGGAGGACCUGUGCUGGCAAACCUGACAUCUCUGCCCCCUCUUUCCUCUGCAGCCCCAUCCCUCCACCACUCGGAAUUUCCUCCAGUUCCUCAAAUCCUCCAUGCUGUCCUUGACUGGACGCUCUGGGCUGGGGCUGGGGCUGGCGAACAAGGCCUUGCCCUCCGGAAGCUCGUGGUGGGUAGGGGAUGUGGGCGAGUGAGCAGGCAGUUCAGAGGAUGGGGCGUGCAUGGGCUGAGCAAGCAUCUAAGAGGGGUGACCAACAGAGGAGGGGGUGACCACGCUGGGGAAGGCCUCCAGAGAUCUGCCGAAACUGCCACAGCCACCUUGGUGUUGUGGUUUGACAAAGUAUUGGCGUCCACCACCAAGGGGCCAGAGCUGCUGCCUCCUAAGUGUUCUCCUUUCACGGGUCCAGGAUUUGAAGGUUGAUUGUUGUCACUGCCAAAAUCGUGGUAGCUUCCACCAGCCCCAAAACUGUUUCCAUCAUCACCAAACCCAUUAUAGCCUCCCAACCCGACCACCACCUGGCUGCCACCAAAGUCACCUCCACCACCAAUGUUGUCAUUCCCACCAAAACCACCCCCACGACCACCACCCAAGUUCCCAGAACCACUUCAGCCUCUGGCUGGACAAAGCCCUGGCCAUCUCUUGCCUGGACAGGGGUUUCCUCACUUCACCAUUGUGGCCAUUCACAGUGCGGUACUUCUGAAUGACAGCUUGUGGAGUCACAAAGGUCACAAAAGCAGAGUCUCUCUUACCACCCCCUUGGUCGGUCAGGAUUUCACCCACUUCAGUUCUCCCGCAAUGUCCACACUAACCUCGUGGGUGACGUCCCCCAGUGCUGUCUUUCCUGCCACCCACAGAAAGCUCUUCUACAGUGAAAUGGGCACCUGGUCCUGGAGAACCUCCUCUCAAGAGCCCUCUGUUUCCACCACUUUCCCGUCCCCUUCUCGUGGCACUGCCUUCCCGGUUGCACCCGCCUUUUCCACGGGGACGCUUGGCGUCUCGGUCUCCCACCCACAUAGUGGUGGGCGUUCCCCACGGCUCAAAAUCCACCCUCCGACUCACCCGCUGUUUCAAAGCCCAGCUCUCCCCGGAGCCCUUCCGCGGCUGUUCCAGCCCUUUUCGAGCCUGGCUUAGACGCGGCAGAAGCAGAAGGGGAGGUUGGAAGGAUGCUUACUCUCCAGCAUCCACAGGCAGGAAGGAGGGGUGUAUUUUUUUAAGUACAUAAAUCACAUACUUAGUACGUAUCCAUUGGCAUCUUGGUUAUUUUCAAUCAACAUUUUAUUUUUGAGAUUUGCUCAGGUUGAUAUACAGAGAUCUGGGCCAUUUCUUUGCUGUAGAAAAGACCAUCACAGAAAGGUAAUUGGGGAAGGUCUUCACCAAUAGAGGUUCAGAGUCUAUUGGAAGAGACCUGGAAUUGUCCAGAGACCUCUGUUCCAGGAAAGCAAAGGUCAAACUGGGUUCUUCUGCAAAAGGAUUUUCCAAUUAAGGAUUAAGAACAUCAUUACAACAAAGCUGUCAAAGUGUCAGUAUCUCCUCUUGGCCUUGGGAAAAAAAUGCAUCUUAGAAGAAGGAGGCGAUAGCCUCAUUUGGCACGUUGCCUCGUCUCCCUGUGAUGUUCCAGGUGGGUGUGAUGAAAUAAGUGAUGUAUCUGUCACCUCCACAACUCAGAGGAAACUUCCUUUUAAAGAACUGGUCAUCUCAAGCAGUUAAUACAAUUAUUGGCAAGAUUAAGUCAAAGCUGAAAUUAAAGUGAGCAAAACCUUAAAGUUAUACAUUUUUAAAGAAUUCCUUUGGAAAGAAAAAUAGUAAAAAAUAGAAUAAGCUGUUUAGUUACCCUCGCAUCAUAUACACAAAAUCUGAAUUAGAAUAUAUGCCGUGUGUGUGUGUGCAUGUGUGUGUGAGCUAUCGUUGCAAUGUUGUCAUGUAACAAACUACCCCGGAUUCGGUGGAGGACAACAGUGAGCAUUUACUCUCGUGCCGGUGGGUCUGCAGGUUGACUGUGGGUUGGCUCAGCAGAGCCUACCUGUAGUUUUGGUGCUGGCAGAUUUCAAGCAUCUCUCAUGCUCCUCGCCCUGGCAGCUCCCCAGAGCAAGAGGGCUAAGCCAAACCACACAGGCACUUUUAAGGCCUCUGCUGUUCUCUCAUCCCUAAAUGUUCCACCGACCAAAGCAAGUCACAUGGCCAAGCUCAACAUCAACCACACAGGGAAAAAUACUCUGCCCACGGUGGGAAGAAUUGCAGAGCUACGUGGGAAAGAGCGUGAACAGAGAACAGGGAGGGGCUGACGUGCUGAUUCAGUCCACCACGAUGUGUGAGUAAGGAACAAAACUGGUAACGGUUACGGGCCAAAGAAGCCAAAACCUUGCUCUACCUGAAAUGCAGUCUUAUAAACAGCAUGAAAGGUAAGAAAUCCUUUAUAAAAUCUGCUUUGCUAAACGAGUAAUCUUUGCCAGUGUUUCUGGCCCCAGCUUCAAAAACCCAGUAAUGAAAAUCUUAGCAGGAACCCUUGGAAUUUCUUCCUGGGACUGCAUGCUGCGAACCACUCAGAUUUUAAAGCUUCUGAAUCAGUUUCUUGCAACAUUAAGUUGGGUUUGCUGAAUGGGGUAAAAUGCCUUUGGCAUUCCUAGCAUCCGCCCCUACCUCAGCUCUGGACUCAGCGACCAGCAACAGAGUUCUAUUGUUAACUCCUCAGUACUCACAUUGUCCCAGUGUUCUUUGGAAGGCGCAGGAGUCAUACAAAGUCACCCUGAAAAAUGGUGGACAAUCUGGGUGAAACGGAGUCACUCAGACAUCAGGUUGGAGUAUCCAGCCCCACCAUUCACUCGCCGACCCUAAACCUGACAAAGCCGCGUGAUCUCUCCUUGUCUUUAAGAUGAAAGGCUUGAAUACGAGGGAUCCACCCUCAGCCACUCUUGCUACCCCCAAUCCAACUCUUGAUUUUUUUUAAUUAAACAUUUUAUUCUGACAUAAUUGUAGAUUGACAUACACUUAAGAAAUAAUACAGUAAAAGCCUGUCAUGCCCUUUACCCAUCUUCCCUCCAUGGUAACAUCUUGCAAAACUAUAUGAUAUCACAACAAUGCUGUCGUCAAUACAGCCAGGAAACAGGACAUUUCUGCUGUGGUCUCUGUCUUCCCACCUGAAUUCAUGUUCUGAAAUUCUAACCCCCAGAGAUGAUGCUCAUAGGAGGUGGGGGCUUUGGGAGGCGCUGAAGUCAUGUAGGAAGAGUUGCCUUGUAGUAGAGGGUCCAGAGAGACCCCUAGUCCCUUCCACCGAGUAAGAACACAACCAGAAGUCUGCAACCCAGAGAGGACCCUCACCUGACCAUGCUAGCACCUUGAUCUUGACCAUCUAGCCUCUAGACCCGUGAGAAAUAAAUUCCUAUUGUUUUUA